AAUACUUUAUGCUUCAAUUUGUUUUAAUUUUCUAAAUAAAUUCUGGGCGUACAUUUUCUUAAAGACAUAAUCUUUUGUUGUCUUUUAUUGCAAUUCUUAUAGCCGCCUGACCUUUUUUCCUUUCCUAUUUUUGAAUUAAAUUUGUUCGAGAAAAUGUUCGAGAUAACGCAAGAUAUGACCAUAUGAUUAAACAUUUUACACAAGGGUGGUCGUCCAAGUGUGCUUUAACGCUACCUAGUAUAGCCAAUUUAUAUUCUUGCUAGAUUUAAAUCGCCAAAUUUAUGCUUAAAAAUAUAACAUAAGCUGCCAUUUGUUUAUGUUAAAUCAAGUAGACCAAUGAGAAGCAUCACGUGACCAGAUGGGGCCAGAGGUUGAUCUCAAAGCAAAGAGCUCUUGUGUUUUUCUUAGAAACUCAAAAAAUUCAUAAAUAAGAACAAAAUGAAGCUUUAUUCUGAAGCGAACAAAUCAGGCUAAAAAAGGCUCAAAAAAUAAGAAGUUCCAGGCUCAGGUCAGAUUUUACUGUUUCAAAUUUUAAACGAUAUGCAGGAAAUGAUUUGUUAAGUAGCAGCAGCAGAAAUUAGUUAUGUUGCUUCUAAGGACUUAGCGUCUAAAAUUAAAUUCAACAUAUAUAUAGGAGUGUCUCCUGGUUUUAUUUUACCUUUAUCAUGGUUUAUUAUCAUAUAAAGUCUUGUAAGCUUAAAAGUAAAAUCAAUAUAUACUUCAAAAACUUAAUACUUCUGCAUACUUUUUCAAUGGGAAAGUAUAAACUUCAUAGACCCAAAAAAAAACAGUCUGGAGGCUCGUGUCCACUCGGGUUACUACACUUUCUAGUAGCCAAACUACUUCUUAUUUCUUACCUAUAUUUAUGAUUAUUCCUUGUGACUAUCUUAUACGUAGAAAAACACGUAUUUAAAAGACUCAAAUCGAAAAGUGUACAUUUUAUCAUUCUUCCUUUCAAACUACUAGAAUACCUUCCUUCCUGUCGAUGUGUUAGGAAGCAGUCCUACUUUUGUAUUUAUUCGACCGAUUUCGUAUAAUUUUUUACCAUCAAGUUUAUUUUCAGUAGUUAGUAGUAUAUUUUCUCUGUAAGUGAUUGUAGAAGAUUUCUUUGCGUGGACUAAUUUUUGCAUGUUAAUUUUCUUUAAUGAAGUAAUGAAUAUCGGAAAAAAAAUAUCCACGUCCAGUGCACUGGAAUUUUGCCGUCAAGUUUUAUUUAUUAAUAAAUAAAAUAAAUUAAACCGCGACACGAUUUAGAGAUAUCAAAAAAUAGCAUGUUAAAACAUUUUAGGGCGUUUGGCACGUUAUACUACUCACUCAUUUAAUUUCGUACAUAUCUUAGUACUAUGAGUUGUUUCUAAAGAACCAAAAAAAUCCUUCUUGAAGCUAGCUGUUCUACUUUUUCGAGUCUUUUCGAACCUGAUUUGUUGUUGUUCUGCAGAAUUCAUUAAUAUUAUUAUUUUGUUUUUUAUUUAUAUACUUUUUUAAAAGUUCUCUGGAAUUUAUGUUUUUAUAUAAAAAAAUUGGGUUUUUUUGUUGCUAAUUCAACUUUUAUAAUUAUGUUUAUAAACUAUCAAAAACGACCCCAAGCAAAAACAAUUGCUUAAGAGAGAAUUGCAGGAGAGGUACAUACAUUGAUUCUUUUUUUAUUUUCCAGGGUUGUAUUUAUUUUAUUUUAUUUAUUUUAUUUACUAUUUUUUUCUCCUUUUUUUUGAAACCGAUGAUUUGAGCCUUGGGCUGUUUGUUUUUUAGCAAAAUUUGAGGCUGGUGUUUUUAUAAAGUUGUUUUUAUACAAAAAUAUUAGAAUCUUCAAUUUUAUAUAUUAUCUAUAUUAUAAUGUCCGUCCGUCUGUCUGUCUGUCACGCAAAAUGGUAGCUGCGACGGGCGAACCCGUGGAUUUUUCCACGGGCUAACGACUAGUAUAUAUAUAUUAUACAUAACAAGUUUUGUUUCAGGCUUCCAGAAGUUCCCAGAUUAAUUUUAAAAAUAUCGAGUGAAAAUUUUAACAUUUUUUUUAAAAAAUAUACUAUAUGUAAAAUCUGUAGCUUAAAUAUUCCAUAUAAAUUCAGCUGUUAAGUACAAUUUUCUAUAAAAGCCAGGAGCUUCUGGCUGAACUGCUCUUAUUUUUUUAUUUUUCAGUAGGAUUUUACAACUUUGCAAUUGAUACUGUGAAAAAUGCGUUGAGUUAAAUUUUUGUUGUUGAUUUGAUAUUACCAUAAUAAUCUAAAAAUUGAAUUUUAAAAUUUUAACAUAUUCUAUCAGUAUUUGAAAAGGAAGGCGGUAGCAAUAUUUUUCGUCAGUUCAUAUGAAAGAAACCUGUGCAGAGAUGAAGCGUUUUUACCCAACAUCAAGUUUAAAAUCUCAAAAUUUUUUCCAUGUCCUCUCCCAAAAAUAAAUGAAGAUGUAGGUGUCAGCUACAGCCCUGAAAAAGUACCUUAUUUCAAUAAAAAUACUGUAAAAAUACUGUUAGAUUCGCAAAAAUAAAAUCUAUAUUGGUUAAAAAAUAUCACAAAAUGUGUAUCUUUUUUACCUGACAACUAUAGGCGUAAUCCCAGGAUUCUUGUCUUAUCAAAAACCCUUCGCGAAAAUUAGCUAAUCAACAUAAGGUAUAUCUAUACCGUACAUCCGUUUCUCCAGCCAGGCAAAGCUAUCACUACUAAGCUAUCACGUAGUAGAAUACUAAAUGUGACAUUUUCACAAUGGUCCCCACAAGGCGUGUGUAUCAAUGGUGACCAUUUAAUAGAUGGUUCCCAGAAGGCGUGUGUUUGAAAUGUGACAUAUUCAAAAUGGUCCCCACAAGGCUUAUGUAUCAAAUGUGACAUUUUCACAAUGGUCCCCACAAGGCGUGUGUAUCAAUGGUGACCAUUUAAUAGAUGGUUCCCAGAAGGCGUGUGUUCGAAAUGUGACAUAUUCAAAAUGGUCCCCACAAGGCGUGUGUAUCAAAUGUGACAUUUUCAAAAUGAUCCCCACAAGGCUUAUGUAUCAAAUGUGACAUUUUCAAAAUGAUCCCCACAAGGCGUGUGUGCGAAACGUGACAUAUUCAAAAUGGUCCCCACAAGGCGUGUGUGUCAAAUGUGACAUUUUCACAAUGGUCCCCACAAGGCGUGUGUAUCAAAUGGUGACCAUUUAAUAGAUGGUUCCCAGAAGGCGUGUGUUUGAAAUGUGACAUAUUCAAAGUGGUCCCCACAAGGCGUGUGUAUCAAAUGUGACAUUUUCAAAAUGGUCCCUACAAGGCGUAUGUAUGAAAUGUGACAUUUUUAAAAUGGUCCCGAGAAGGCGUGUGUGAUUCAAAUGCGACCUUUACAUAAAUGGUCAUAUAAGGAGUGUGUAUCAAAGAUAACAUUCUCAUAAAUGGUCCCCACAAGGCGUGUGUGUCAAAAAAAACGUUUUCAUAAAUGGUCCCCAAAAGGUGUGUGUGUGUCAAAAAUAACGUUUUCAUAAAUGGUCCCCAUUAGGCGUGUGUGUCGUUAUUAUGAAUGGGCCUUAGGAUUGUGUGUUAAAAGUAAGAUAUUCAUAAAUGUUCCCCAGAAGGCGUGUAUGCUAAAGGUGAUGUUUUCAUAAAUGGGCCCUAAGCGUGCAUGUUAAAUGUUUUUGUGAGAUAUAUAACAAUAGGCAGUAGAGUUUGGUUGUCACUAGGGAUAACGAUGAGUUCUGCAUAGUGAGACCGCUAAGACUUCGGCCCAUAGUGUGAACGUAAAAGUACCUACUUAAUCACAGCUGAACUCAUCGUUAGCAGAAAAGUGCCACGAAUUCCUAGAAAUCAUAUUUGCUCCGUGGCUAAAUUUAUUCUCAAGGGAGCAAAUUUUGGCGGGAAGAAAAUUUGGUCGAAGGAAAAUUUGGCGGAAUUAGCGAUAUUUAAUUUGGCGGAUACCAAAAAAUAUUACAUUUAGCAGAUAACGAAAAUAACUAAUUUUGAAGGAAUUUAAUUGAACGGAUGACGAAAAAAAUUUAAACGUAUGUAUUCUUAUUUGUUUCUUUGUAAAUCAAUCGACUUUUUACAUUAAUAACUUAGAUAAAAAAGAAAGUCGCUCGUCGCCAAUACCGUCGUCAAUUAUAAUCUUCUCAUGCAAGAGCUUUGGGAACGAGAAUUUCUUGCAGAAACACGAAGAAAUCGACGGAUAGCGAAAAAAAUAUCAUUUCGGCAGGGAUUUAAAUUGACAGACUGUAAUAAAGUUUAAUUUUGGAGGAAUUUAAUUUAGCGGAUUUAACAUUUAGAUUUAACAAAAAAUCCGCGGAUUUUUUGUUAAAUCUGCCAAUUCCGCCAAGUUUUUUUUACGCCAAAAAUUUGUCCCCUUUAAGAUAAUAAAAUAAGAUAAAAAUUUCUAAAAUUAAUAACGCGCAGAAUUAUGCUCCAUUCACAAUUUUUAUGAUUUAUAGCGGAAAUUAAUACGAGUAAUAUUUAGUGGUCCUUUAGGGCAUAUUAUCUCAAGUCAAAAAAUUAAAUAAGAAAGGGCCAGGGAUUUGGAUUGGGUCUGUCGUAAACCGAACGUUCUGUAAAGUACGAAAGCAGCAGAUUGCGCUUAGUCAGCACUUUUGCCGUAAACAAAUUUUCAAAAUGACAACAAGUAUGGCGAAGUUCAAGAAAAACAAAGAAAAAAAGCAGAGCCUUUUAAAGUCAUGAAAACAUAUGCACAUAUCCCGCGUUAUUUGCACAACUUCGAUUGUGACCAUUGUGAAAUUUAACACACGGUCUUGUGGGGACCAUAGGUAGCAUGGUUGGGAUUGAUGUGUAAAUUUACACACUUGCCUUGUGGGGACCGUUGUUGCAGUACAUAUUCGCGACUUCACUUUCAUCUCUGACAGUCGGAAAACUAAAAGAUUGGCUAAAAGAUUGAGGAACUCAAGGUAUGAUAUUUUUACUUUCCAACUGGUUCUCUAGGCAGCCUUUUUUACGCUUCCUUUUUUUUGCUGAAAAUUGACUUCAAGAUGAAUUUUUUCCCUUUAAUAUAUAGCUAGCUAUAACUAACUACAAGCUAACUGGCAAGCUAAGUAUUUUAUUUAAGUCAUGGCAGUUACUCUUGAGUUACUAUGCACUUAUAAUACAAGGACAAGAAUUUCUUAUUUAUCCAUCUUCAAGUUUAUGUUAAUUUUCCAGGCAUUUUGCCAGCUAGCAUCAAAAGCAAGUGCAUAUAGAAAUUUUAUUUUUUAGAGUGGACAUGAUUAUAUUGUGUAUUUGUCUAUCUGAGUUGCAGCUUUUACAUGAUAUAUAACCAAGAUUUUUUUGUACUAAUUUCAAAGUUGCUCCAUAUUUUUUACACAAUAAAAAAUAGCGGCAGUUUGAUCUUGCCUUGUACAGUCAGAGAAAACUUUUAAAUAUACUGUUGCAGUAUAAAUAGUAUAUAUACCUUUAAAUUGAACACCCAGUACACCUUAAGGAAAUUACAGUGUAAAUAUGCUGGGUUAAACUUAGAGAGUAUCUUAAAAUUUAGCAUUGUACGCAAAACCAUGUUUAUUUAACAAACGGUUAAUAAGAUAGCAUGCUUUCAGCCAAGGUAUAGGAAUAAUUGAUUCAAAGUUGUUUCUUGCGAAAACGAGAUAUUUUUGAAAUGGAAGUCGUGACUAUCAGAACAAGUAACAUAACUGAUUUAAAAUAAUGCUGUUCGACUUUUUGUUUUUUUUGAUGUUGUAGUGCCGUUAUAAAGUGCCGGCAAAAAUUUAAUAUAAAUAAUUUCAAGGUUCUUAUAUAUAUAAGUCACAAGUACUUUAGGCUUUUGUUGAAAAUUUUAAUACCACACUGCGGUUUGUCACCAUUGCCUGUACAUGCGGUUUUGGUUAAAUGAAAGCAAGAUGGAUAUUGUCGUCUAUUUAAGCAUGUGUUCCCUACAUCAAAUUUUUUUAUUGCUUUAAAAUAAUUGGAGGUGGGCACGCAUACUUUUCUUCUGCACACCAAAAGAAACAAGAGACUUAGUGCAUGAAUUUUAAAGUAUUUUGUUUUUAAUGGUUUAAAUAUAUAAGUGAUUUGCUGCUUAUAGGAUGUACCAAAUGCUUAAUUGAUACUUAACAGCAUAUAGUAACGGCAUAUUUGAAAGUUUUCCCUGACUGUUGUAUUAUAUUAUUAAAAUAUAUGUCCCAGAAGCAGCUACCUCAGUCUUUCAAAUUCAUUUUUCUCACGUUAAUUCUGUAAAAAUCUGUUGACCUAAAAUUUAAUUUGCCUAUACCUGCUUUGUGCACCAUCAAUAAUUGCAGAGAAUUGUUAUAGAUUAGGAUUUGUAAACUUUUGUAGCUGAAUCUCUGUAUAUAUCAGGUUGAUUAAUGAGCUCCAUAGUGUUUUAACAAAGACAAUAUAUAUAUUUAGGAAGAAAAAUUGUUGCCUGUGAAAGUACUGUAUAGGCGUUAUGUUCAGCUUUUUGUUAAUAUUGUAUGAGAAUGUGAAUAAAAUGUGUAUAAAACAGGUUUUUUGCCAAUCCUGAAACAACUAAAGUAUACCUUAAUACCUUUUGAGCUUGGUUUUAUAAAUCGCGAUAUUUUUGGCAAUAGUAAAUGGAAGUUUUUUUAUUUAUACAUUACUAAAAAGCAUUUUUAAACACCUAUAUAAUGGUAUAAAUAUAAUUUAAAGCUUUUCAAAGAAUUGUGAAAGAUGUAUGUAAAACGAUUUAUUGUUCUUCACAAAGUCCCAGUUUUUUAUUUAUUUUACUUCUUUCAAAAAUGCUAUUUUUUAAGCUAAACUCUAUAUAUGGAGAACACCUUAAGGAUACAAAUUUAUCGUGGAAGAAAUUUUUGCGGAUGACCACAUUUUCUUCCACAAAUAAUUAGUGAGGUACAAAUUAUUUGCUGAAAAAAAUGUGGUAGGCAGUUUAUUUUUUAGCAAAACAAAGUAUGGAAACCAAUGAAAUGACAACAAAGUUAUAUAGUUAUUGUCUAAAUUAGUAAUAUGUAUAUUAAAAUUCAAAUAUCUGAAAUAAUAUUGAACUCCGACACCAAAUUACGCUUGCUACAGUAUAAAAUAUGUGUUCAGUUUACGACACCUAAUUUAUUUCUUUUUUUUCUCAUAGAAUCCCAGUUUUCAAUUAUCAAUCUUAAUGGCUUGUAGACAGGGUCGCAGAAAGAGAGCCAAAAUCGAUCAUAAUGAAGUGGCAGUGGCUCAUGUAACGAAAGGUGUAGAUCAGGACGGGUUGAGAAAAUAUUACAUAAAUAAAGAAAUAGCUAUUGUGCUGCUUGCAAAUCAUAGACGAUCACUAGAUGAUUUUUGUGACGAUCGUCAUAAAUACUGGAAUUUGAUUGGUUUGGUCGCGAUUGUCGUCAUGACAAAAAGUUGAAUUGGUUUCUACUUUUUGUCGCAAAAACUGUCGCAAAUAACACCCAGUGAAGACAUAUCUUUUGAAUCAUUCUAUUAGCAGUUCAGUGUCUAAUCAUUACCUCUUAAUUGCCGGAAAAUGCCUUAAAUUUAGAUAAAAUUGGUGUGUUUUAAAGAGAUUAUGAAAUAAUAUAGUUAUUUUUUAUGUUCCUUUUUAAAAAAACGUGUUUUCAAAAAAAUGCCCCUGCGACACUGGAUUUAACGUGGCACAAAGGACAUUUAUUACCCUGUUUUCUUUUAUUUCGUUCGCUUUUAUAAACUACUAACUAAAAAUUAAUCGCGAAUUGCACUCUGUUUAGUAAAUGUAGUUUUGCUUUACUACCAGGCAGCAAGUUCGCAAUGUACAAAGUAGCUAAUUAAGUUAAAAUAAUUUUUUAGGUUUCGGAGUUUUCGCAGAAAAGAAUUUUACGAAGGGGGAGUUCUUAUUGGAGUAUCCUGGGGAACUUAUUAGCGCCGAGGAAGAAGAAAAAAAGCAGCAACGCUAUAACGCUAAAUUUGGUUCAUUCUUGUUUUUUUUCAACAAAUGUUGGUAAGUAUUAUAUACCUUAUCGGUAAAAAAAGUCAGUAAGAAUUUUUUGGUCGGCAAAAAUGUUGUUCACUUGCACAAAAUUUAGUCACUUUUUGCCGACUUUUUUUUCGUUAAACUAGAAUUUGGAAAAAUUUUCAUGCGAGAAUAAUAGACGUACAUCAUUCUCUCGUUUCUACUCUCACAUUUUUUUUUGAUUAUAGUAUUGACGGAACCUUCUCAGAGCGGUUAGGUAAAUACGUCAACGAUAGCGCAGUGGCGUUUUGUAAUUCGAAAAUGCGCCCUAUAGAAGUUAAUGGCAGAGUCCAUUUCUGUCUGUUCGUUCUUGUUAAUCAAUUGUUGUUAAGCAAUCUUCCUUGGAGAACAGUUAGUUAGUUAGUUAGUUAUAAAGAAAGAAACAACAAAUUAUAACAUUUUUGUAAUAUUCUUAUAAAAUUCAUCUUAGAAUAAAAACACCAAGAUGCCUAUUACGAUUGCACCAAAAGUCUCUACGGUAAGUUAAAAUGCUUUAGUCUUGUCCUGUAUGUUUUUUACCCUGUAAAAAAAGUCAUGACAAUACGCCCAUAGUACAUGUAGUAAGUAAGUGCGUUAUUUAGCGCGACCCUGGCCACACAAUGAAAUAUAUACUUCCUCAAUUGAAUAAAGUUUUCUAAAAGUGUUUCUUUCACAAUUAUCAUUAAUGUCCGAAACUAUGAAAAUUUUACUUUCUUUUUACUUCAAAGAAGUGCUUCUUGUGUACACUUACAUCUGCAACAGUCAAGGGAAGAUUUUUUUUUAAACAAACAAAACAAGUUUAUAAAGAAAAUUAAAAUAUUGCGUACUUCUUUUUCUAAUUUUUCAAUUGUUGUACGUUCUCUAUUGUUGUUUGUUGUGUAAUAAAAGGGUUGGUGUGAUGAUUUUCACAGUAGUAAAAUAUUGUGUGAGGUCUGGGAAGUGUAGAAACAAAAACAUGGCUGUCAAAUGACAAGACUAUAAAUGUGCCAUUAUUAGACUCCAUCGCAUAUGCUUGUUUUGACGUUCAAAGUACCUGAAACGCAAAAUGUCUUAAAGCAAACAAAAAUUUAAAACAGGCUGUAUAGUUUUAUAGUUUCAUACUCCUACCGGUCUGACAGAAAUUUGUUCCCUUUCUUGGCCAAAGUUUCACAGUUUUCGCAGCCAAUUUACAAACAUUUUGAAAGGUGUUAUGUCUACUUACUAAAACAUCGGCAACUUUCAAAACUAUAUUGUACAAUAUUAUUUUCAUUGUCACACACUAUAUUGAGAUUGAUUACUUUAUAAGUAAAAAAUAGGGAGGGUUGAGUCGGGAGCGUGGUCCAGAGAAACGAAGGGAAAAUAAAAAACAAGUCUUUUACGAAAAGUCCUUUUCGUAGGACUUUUAUGGCAGAAAUUCUUUUUGGGCUGACUUCUUAUAAUUCGAAUUUAAUUUAUUUGGAACAUUCCGUUAUCGAAUUCACGAAGUUGUAAAAUCUACUUUACUGAGCGCUUAAAAAUUUGAUUUAAAUUUUAAAGAGGGCGUUUAAAGGCAGAUUUUCUUUGCGCCUCGGUUCGACUUUGAGUUUGCACCGUCUUGUUAAUGUAACCCUCUUGAUUUCAAUAGCUGUGUGUUGGCCCUGAAUUCAAAUGAAUAAAGAGUCUAAUGUAUAGUGGUUGAGCCAAGAACUUCUAACCUGUAUAAACGUUUAUUUUGUAGAAGAUAAAUUAUGAGGUUCGUCACUUUUAAUGAAAACUGUACUUGCACCCGUUUUAUUAUUUUCAAUGUCGUUAAAGUAGCUCAUUAGAAAAUCAGCACCAAAAGACUUUCUAGGUUGGUUCUUAUAAUCAUGAUUUAUGCUCAUCGUUUUAGCAGGUUAUUUAUAUAUAUAUGUUUGCUUUGUGAACUUAAAAAUUUCUCUAUCAAGUUUUUAGAAAUUCAAGUAUCACAUUCUCCCAGUGACUAAAAAGCUUCAGGAAAUGUCUAUUAAUUUUAGGCUUUGUUUUCUGAUAUAAAUUUUAUAGUGUUGACCGGUAGUUAUUUUGAAAGUUUAGAUAGUUUAAGUUUAUUAAACGCACAGAACAUUUGCAUCUCACUAGUUAUAUUAAAAGGACGUUUGUUCCCAAAAAGUUAAAUUAAAUAGUUGUUCGAGAGGGAACUAAAACGGGUGUUUUACUAAAUAUAUUAUUACCAGAUCAAACUGUACUGUAUUAAGUUAUUUUUUAUUUUUAAAAACAUAGUUGUAAAUGAAAAAAUUCUUUUAAGAUUAAAUACCAAAUGAAAACUGUAAAUGGUGUAUUAAUGUGUUAUUUUAUAUUUC